GCUAAACCCGCGUACAUGCCACCGGGGCAUCCCGGAGGCAGGAAAGGCUUCGGCCGGACAGGGAUGGGCAUGCGGCGCAUUAGGCAGUAGGCGGGGUUACGGCCCACCUAACCGACGAUGCGUAGGGGUUCUGAGAGGAAGGUCCCCCACACUGGUACUGAGACACGGACCAGACUCCUACGGGAGGCAGCAGUGAGGAAUAUUGGUCAAUGGUCGGGAGACUGAACCAGCCAAGCCGCGUGAGGGAUGAAGGUACAGAGUAUCGUAAACCUCUUUUGUCAGGGAACAAAGGCGGGGACGUGUCCCCGGAUGAGUGUACCUGAAGAAAAAGCAUCGGCUAACUCCGUGCCAGCAGCCGCGGUAAUACGGAGGAUGCGAGCGUUAUCCGGAUUUAUUGGGUUUAAAGGGUGCGCAGGCGGUCUGUUAAGUCAGCGGUCAAAGCCCGGGGCUCAACCCCGGUCCGCCGUUGAAACUGGCAGUCUCGAGUUGGAGAGAAGUAUGCGGAAUGCGCGGUGUAGCGGUGAAAUGCAUAGAUAUCGCGCAGAACUCCGAUUGCGAAGGCAGCAUGCCGGCUCCACACUGACGCUGAGGCACGAAAGCGUGGGUAUCGAACAGGAUUAGAUACCCUGGUAGUCCACGCAGUAAACGAUGAAUACUGGCUGUCCGGG
rnacentral:rRNA from 1 species